GGAAUAUUGGACAAUGGGCGCAAGCCUGAUCCAGCCAUGCCGCGUGUGUGCAGAAGGCCUUCGGGUUGUAAAGCACUUUCAGCGAGGAGGAAGGGGUUGUAGUUAAUAGCUGCAAUUUUUGACGUUCCUCGCAGACGAAGCACCGGCUAACUCCGUGCCAGCAGCCGCGGUAAUACGAAGGGUGCAAGCGUUAAUCGGAAUUACUGGGCGUAAAGCGCACGUAGGCGGUUUGUUAAGUUGGAUGUGAAAGCCCCGGGCUCAACCUGGGAAUUGCAUCCAAAACUGGCAUGCUAGAGUAUGUGAGAGGGGGGUAGAAUUCCAAGUGUAGCGGUGAAAUGCGUAGAGAUUUGGAGGAAUACCAGUGGCGAAGGCGGCCCCCUGGCACAAUACUGACGCUCAGGUGCGAAAGCGUGGGGAGCAAAC
rnacentral:rRNA from 1 species